GAUGAACGCUGGCGGCGUGCCUAAUACAUGCAAGUAGAACGCUGACGCAGGAGCUUGCUCCUCUGGAUGAGUUGCGAACGGGUGAGUAACGCGUAGGUAACCUGCCUGGUAGCGGGGGAUAACUAUUGGAAACGAUAGCUAAUACCGCAUGACAACAGUUAUUGCAUGAUAACUGUUUAAAAGGGGCAACUGCUCCACUACCAGAUGGACCUGCGUUGUAUUAGCUAGUUGGUGAGGUAACGGCUCACCAAGGCGACGAUACAUAGCCGACCUGAGAGGGGGAACGGCCACACUUGGACUGGGACACGGCCCAGACUCCUACGGGAGGCAGCAGUAGGGAAUCUUCGGCAAUGGACGGAAGUCUGAACGAGCAACGCCGGGUGAGGGAAGAAGGUUUUCGGAUCGUAAAGCUCUGUUGUAAGAGAAGAACGAGUGUGAGAGUGGAAAGUUCACGCUGUGACGGUAUCUUACCAGAAAGGGACGGCUAACUACGUG
rnacentral:rRNA from 1 species